UUCAGGUGAACCACACAAAACUUCCCUCUUUUCAGCUGCAGAUACACAUUUUGAGGCAAUGAUCACACUUUUGAAAGGUAGACUCCUCACUCCUUCCUUCUACUGCCGGCAGGAUCUGACGGAUCAAGCAGGAAUCUGUCACUGAACCGCCGGAUGGGGUUUACGCCAAAGGAUAUUUUUUUACAGUGAGGAUUCUCCAGUACAGCAGAAAGCA